rnacentral:rRNA from 1 species
GAUGAACGCUGGCGGCGUGCCUAAUACAUGCAAGUCGAGCGAAUGGAUUAAGAGCUUGCUCUUAUGAAGUUAGCGGCGGACGGGUGAGUAACACGUGGGUAACCUGCCCAUAAGACUGGGAUAACUCCGGGAAACCGGGGCUAAUACCGGAUAACAUUUUGAACCGCAUGGUUCGAAAUUGAAAGGCGGCUUCGGCUGUCACUUAUGGAUGGACCCGCGUCGCAUUAGCUAGUUGGUGAGGUAACGGCUCACCCAGGCAACGAUGCGUAGCCGACCUGAGAGGGUGAGCGGCCACACUGGGACUGAGACAGAGCCGAGACUCCUGCGGGAGGCAGCGGUAGGGAAUCUGCCGCAAUGGACGAAAGUGUGACGGAUCAACGCCGCGUGAGUGAUGAAGGCUUUCGGGUCGUAAAACUCUGUUGUUAGGGAAGAACAAGUGCUAGUUGAAUAAGCUGGCACCUUGACGGCACCUAACCAGAAAGCCACGGCUAACUACGUGCCAGCCGCCGCCGUAA